GGAAGUGCAAUAUGUUUGCCAUUUAGUUCAUGGAAGACAAGGGCCACUGAUGCUUCUAGCAAAGGUCUGCAGAAUCUGGGGAUUUUUCCUGAUGCAGACAGAGUUUUUCAGAUGAACCAGUGCAUGCAAGAAUUGCAGCUGAACACAAAUAUUCUAAGGCUGCGUCCAUGUUGUUACUAGUGCAGUACAGACAGAGAUCCAUGGAAGCAGACAGCCUGCUGCGGGAACAGGCUUCGUAACCUGGGCCAUGGUCCCUCCAACCACUUUCCUAGACCCAACAGCACCAGUGACCCAUAUCCCCAUUUGGCUGUCUGGGAAAUAGGAGGGAAGGCUGAGACGACUUCUUGCUACAAAAAUUUCCUUAGGGUUUGGACGUGUAACACACUUACACUAGUGUAAUCUGCCUCUGCCCCAGUGCAAAAAAGUACCACAGGGUAUACAGCAGUGGGGGCCAAAUAUUUUGGCAGGUGCCAUAAUUUAACCCUGCACCCUCUCCGAGUACCACCUGAUCCUUUUCUCUGCCUGAUCUGCUGUUCUGCUUUCUGCUUCCUUCC